rnacentral:lncRNA from 10 species
GCCGCCCGGGAUGAGCUAAUAAUGGAAGCAAUUUGUAACUUUCAGUAGCUCUCUAGGCCUGGGUACCGGAGGGAGGGAGGCGGGCAGAGGAGGGGAGAUGGGCACCCCCAGUCUUUCCAUCCUCCUCAUUCGUCUAGGGGCACCCGAAUCCCCUAUUCCUUAUUUCCCCUAUCACUCAGGCACUGGCAGGGUCCUUGGCCCACUCCUGUUGGCCGCCGCGGCUCCAAAGCGAGCUGGGCAGAUGUGCCUGAGACAGGUUUGACCAGGCAACUGAAAAGACAUCCCUAAGGGAAGACAAAGCAAAGGUAUGAAAGGAACACACGUCCCUGACUGACUAGGAGGAACAGAGCUGCCUGCUGUCUGGAACCGCUUCCUCCCAGACUAAGUGAGAAAUAAACUUCUGUUUUCUA